CGGACGGGUGAGUAAUGUCUGGGAAACUGCCUGAUGGAGGGGGAUAACUACUGGAACGGUAGCUAAUACCGCAUAAUGCUACGGACCAAAGCGGGGGACCUCCGGGCCUCGCGCCAUCAGAUGAACCCAUAUGGGAUUAGCUAGUAGGUGGGGUAACGGCUCACCUAGGCGACGAUCCCUAGCUGGUCUGAGAGGAUGACCAGCCACACUGGAACUGAGACACGGUCCAG
rnacentral:rRNA from 1 species